rnacentral:rRNA from 1 species
GAUGAACGCUGGCGGCGUGCCUAAUACAUGCAAGUCGAGCGAACAGACGAGGAGCUUGCUCCUCUGACGUUAGCGGCGGACGGGUGAGUAACACGUGGAUAACCUACCUAUAAGACUGGGAUAACUUCGGGAAACCGGAGCUAAUACCGGAUAAUAUAUUGAACCGCAUGGUUCAAUAGUGAAAGACGGUUUUGCUGUCACUUAUAGAUGGAUCCGCGCCGCAUUAGCUAGUUGGUAAGGUAACGGCUUACCAAGGCAACGAUGCGUAGCCGACCUGAGAGGGUGAUCGGCCACACCGGAACCGAGACACGGUCCAGACUCCUACGGGAGGCAGCAGUAGGGAAUCUUCCGCAAUGGGCGAAAGCUUGACGGAGCAACGCCGCGUGAGUGAUGAAGGUCUUCGGAUCGUAAAACUCUGUUAUUAGGGAAGAACAAAUGUGUAAGUAACUAUGCACGUCUUGACGGUACCUAAUCAGAAAGCCACGGCUAACUACGUG